rnacentral:rRNA from 1 species
AACGAACGCUGGCGGCAGGCUUAACACAUGCAAGUCGAGCGCCCCGCAAGGGGAGCGGCAGCCGGGUGCGUAACGCGUGGGAACGUACCUUUUGGUUCGGAACAACUCCGGGAAACUGGAGCUAAUACCGGAUAAGCCCUAACGGGGAAAGAUUUAUCGCCGAAAGAUCGGCCCGCGUCUGAUUAGCUAGUUGGUGAGGUAACGGCUCACCAAGGCGACGAUCAGUAGCUGGUCUGAGAGGAUGAUCAGCCACACUGGGACUGGGACACGGCCCAGACUCCUACGGGAGGCAGCAGUGGGGAAUAUUGGACAAUGGGCGCAAGCCUGAUCCAGCCAUGCCGCGUGAGUGAUGAAGGCCUUAGGGUUAUAAAGCUCUGUUGUCCGGGAAGAUAAUGACUGUACCGGAAGAAUAAGCCCCGGCUAACUUCGUG